rnacentral:RNase_P_RNA from 1 species
CGAGUCGGUCAGGCAACCGCGCGACGUUUGAGGCGUCGUGAGGAAAGUCCGGGCUCCACAGGACAGGGCGCCAGGUAAUCCCUGGGGGGCGCGAGCCUACGGUUAGUGCAACAGAAAGCAAACCGCCGGUAUCCGGCGCAGGGCGCGAGUCCGGCGGCGUGGACCGGUAAGGGUGAAAGGGUGCGGUAAGAGCGCACCGCGGGAUCAGGCAACGGUUCCGGCUAGGCAUCCCCGCCCGGAGCAAGGCCAAAUAGGGGUCCAGUGGCGUUGUCCGCGCCGGAUCCGGGUAGGCCGCAAGAGGCGAUUCGGUGACGGUCGUCCCAGAUGAAUGGUUGCCCGCGACAGAACCCGGCUUAUCGACCGACUCCGCCU